rnacentral:rRNA from 1 species
GACGAACGCUGGCGGCGUGCUUAACACAUGCAAGUCGAACGGAAAGGCCCCUUUGGGGGUACUCGAGUGGCGAACGGGUGAGUAACACGUGAGUAACCUGCCCUUGACUUCGGGAUAACUUCAGGAAACUGGGGCUAAUACCGGAUAGGAAUCCUUGCUGCAUGGUGGGGGUUGGAAAGCUUCGGCGGUUUUGGAUGGACUCGCGGCUUAUCAGCUUGUUGGUGGGGUAGUGGCUUACCAAGGCUUUGACGGGUAGCCGGCCUGAGAGGGCGACCGGCCACAUUGGGACUGAGGUACGGCCCAGACUCCUACGGGGGGCAGCAGGGGGGAAUAUUGCACAAUGGGCGGAAGCCUGAUGCAGCAACGCCGCGUGCGGGAUGACGGCCUUCGGGUUGUAAACCGCUUUCAGCAGGGGCGAAGCUUGUGGUGACGGUACCUGCAGAAGAAGCACCGGCUAACUACGUG